rnacentral:rRNA from 1 species
UACGUAGGGUGCAAGCGUUAUCCGGAAUUAUUGGGCGUAAAGAGCUCGUAGGCGGCUUGUCACGUCGGGUGUGAAAGCCCGGGGCUUAACCCCGGGUCUGCAUUCGAUACGGGCUGGCUAGAGUGUGGUAGGGGAGAUCGGAAUUCCUGGUGUAGCGGUGAAAUGCGCAGAUAUCAGGAGGAACACCGAUGGCGAAGGCAGGUCUCUGGGCCACUACUGACGCUGAGAAGCGAAAGCAUGGGGAGCGAACAGG